GUACAAGCCGAGUUAAGGUGAAACCGCGAAAGGCUCAUUAAAUCAGUUAUGGUUCCUUAGAUCGNACCCACACUUACUUGGAUAACUGUGGUAAUUCUAGAGCUAAUACAUGCAAACAGAACUCCGACCGGAGACGGAAGGAGCGCUUUUAUUAGAUCAAAACCAAUCGGCGGCGACGCAGCGUUCGCGCGUUGCGCCGUCCGCCGUACACGUUGGCGAGUCUGAAUAACUUUACGCUGAUCGCACGGUCUCGCACCGGCGACGCAUCUUUCAAAUGUCUGCCUUAUCAACUGUCGAUGGUAGGUUCUGCGCCUACCAUGGUCGUAACGGGUAACGGGGAAUCAGGGUUCGAUUCCGGAGAGGGAGCCUGAGAAACGGCUACCACAUCCAAGGAAGGCAGCAGGCGCGCAAAUUACCCACUCCCGGCACGGGGAGGUAGUGACGAAAAAUAACGAUACGGGACUCAUCCGAGGCCCCGUAAUCGGAAUGAGUACACUUUAAAUCCUUUAACGAGGACCCAUUGGAGGGCAAGUCUGGUGCCAGCAGCCGCGGUAAUUCCAGCUCCAAUAGCGUAUAUUAAAGUUGUUGCGGUUAAAAAGCUCGUAGUUGAAUCUGUGUCUCGCGCCGCCGGUUCAUCGCUCGCGGUGUCAACUGGCGUGUCCGCGGGACGUCCCGCCGGUGGGCGUCGGCGAGGCGCGUUCGCGCGCGUCUCGCGGCCCAACUUAGAAAUCCCGCCGCGGUGCUCUUCGCUGAGUGUCGAGGUGGGCCGGCGCUUUUACUUUGAACAAAUUAGAGUGCUUAAAGCAGGCUGAAAAUUUCGCCUGAAUAUUGCGUGCAUGGAAUAAUAGAAUAGGACCUCGGUUCUAUUUUGUUGGUUUUCGGAACACCGAGGUAAUGAUUAAUAGGGACAGAUGGGGGCAUUCGUAUUGCGACGUUUGAGGUGAAAUUCUUGGAUCGUCGCAAGACGGACAGAAGCGAAAGCAUUUGCCAAAAAUGUUUUCAUUAAUCAAGAACGAAA
rnacentral:rRNA from 1 species